ACUCCAUCUCAAAAGAAAAAAAAAAGAAAGAAAAUGGAGGAAGGAGACCCACCAUGAGCCAAGGAAUGCAGAUGGCUUCUCAAAGCUGAGAACAGUCCUUAGCUGAUAGCCAGAGCAAGAUAAUAAAGACCUCAGUUCUACAAUCACAAGGAACUGAAUUCUGCCAACAACCUGAAUGCACCAAGAGACAGACUCUUCCAAAGAUCCCUCAGAAAGAGACACAGACGUGCAGGUAUCUUGAUUUCAGCCUCACAGACACCCAUGUCAGACUUCUGACCUGCAGAACUCUAAGAUCUAAAAGGAUUAGGUAUAGUCUCCAGUUCCAACCUCAGGACAGCAGGAGUGAUAAGUCAUGGACGGCGCCAUGAGGAUACAGAAGAGGCUGCUAAAAGGAGCUCUGACAAAAGCAAAAGUGGUCAUUGAUAUCAAGGUAGAAGGAAAAGAAGACAAAAGAUGUACCAGAACUUCACUUUUUACCACUGACACGAGCUACUUCUUUGUUGAAUCAGGUAACAGUUUUCAAACACUGGUAACUGUCUCCUCAAUUUUUGGUGCUACUCACAACACCACAGCCACAGACAUGACACACUUUUAAGUUGAAUCCAUAUUAUUAACAUGUUUCCUAUCACUUUCUAAGGUCUAGACAACUAGCAAAACAAUAAAUCAAAUAAUGACUUCUAGCAUCAGCCAAUUUCUGCAACCAUGAUAUCCGUGAAGGCAGAGCUGGGAAAAGAAGAGCCGUAGCAGCACACCAUAUUACAGUGUUUCUCCUAUUCAAAUACAAGAGAUCUAAAUUACCUCAAGGCCAUAGAAAACAGUGAAAUUUGGUAAUUAGUUAAGUAAUGAUUUUAAGUAUUUACUAACUUUGUUUUUGAUAUAAUUUACCUAUAAGCUUAUAUAAGUAAUUUUUAAUAAAGUCUGUGUUAAAGAAUCAGCUCACACAAAAACUCAAUAGGCUCUCAUGAGCCAGCACAAGCGGGCUUCACCACAUCACUUACAACUAACUUGAAUAAGAUCACACCAUUAGGAAGUAACAGUGCUAAGAUUUGUAUUCAGAUCUUAGAAGUCUAAGAUUCUGCCAUUGGACCAUGUUGCUCUUAGUAAUAAUUACGCAGAGUGAUGAAGAAAAAGUCAGCUGAUGACCAAACUACUUCAUUUAUCAAGACUAAGAAGUGCAAAACAUAAUCUAUACAUUUUGGAAAGCAGUACAAGUAACAUAACUCAAACAAGUUUUGACAAUUUUAACAGGUCAAUGUCACUUAGCAGGAACAUGUACUGAGGUGGAGUCGCUUAUUCUCCACAUGUACUAGGCUAGACAAAGCAGAACUAAACAACAUUGUUUCUAAAAAAAACUAAUCUUCAAAUUGAUAACUAACAAUUAUAACUGAAAUUGGAUAAAAAUCAUAUAAAGGCCAAUAUUUGUUAGUAGUUUUAAUGUAAAUCUUACUAUAUGAAUGAUAUUAAUAACUCAUUUGCCCAUUAGAAAUUUUCUCCCGUUGCAAUUAUGCCCACAUUCUAAAAGCAUGAUGUCCUUUAUGAUGAAUAAGACUACUGUUUCCAGGUGGACUGCAUACUCAGAGCCAUUCUCCAAACAAUUAUGAUUGUUGGAUUACAUAUAGGAAAUACACUUUUUAAUGCAUUGUUACUCUAGCAGGAGGUUAGGUGACCCAAACACAAAGGGCGAGGGGUAAUUUAGAUGCAUAUGUGAGUAGUGAUGCAGGCUUUUGUACUGGGAGUGUCUGCUAAGUUCAGACCAUCUGAGCUUUCAUUUUAAUGGCUUGUGGAACAAGGGAGAAAGGAGACAAAGUCUAAGAUGCAUCAAAGAUGAAAAGUAUAAAUAGAGAUGGUCACAAAAAGCUGGUAUGCAAGGACUUCAUAUCCUUUGCAAAAAAAAACUGGAGACAAACCCAACCUGCAGAAAGAGAGAACAAAAAAAUUAGCUUGAUUCAAACUUGGGUGGAGAGAGGAAAUUACUCCUCAAUAUUUGUAACCACAAUUCAGCCAUCAAACCAUUAAGUGUGAGAAUGGGAAAAAGAUAUUUUCAGAUACAUGAGCUCUCAAAAAUUUCCUCUCUUUGGAUAUUACUGGAGGAUACAUUUUACUAAAACAAUGAUGUAAUCAAGAAAGAUAAAGAUCUAGGAUCCAGGAAAAAAGAAAUUCAGGAGAAGAAAUUGACAAAAUCACUGAGUGAUAUUGUAUUACUCUUCUUAUGUUGCUAAUAAAGAUAUACCUGAGACUGGGUAAUUUAUAAAGGAAAGAGGUUUAAUUGACUCACAAUCCCUCAGGGCUGGGGAGGCUUCAGUAAAUUCACAAUCAUGGCAGAAGGGGAAGCCAACAUGCCUUUCUUCACAUGACAGCAUCAGGGAGAAGUGCAGAGUAAAGCCAGAUGAACUCACUCAUUAUCAUGAGAACAGCAUGGAGGUAACCGCCCCUGUGUUUCAAUUACCUCCCACUAAGUUCCUCCAAUGACAUGUGGGGAUUAUGGGAACUAGAGUUCAAGAUGAGAUUUGGCUGGGGACACGGUCAAACCAUAUUAGAUAUGGACUAAAUUGUAGCCCCUCGAAAUUUAUAUAUUAAAGCUCUAACCCCCAAUGUAACUGGAUUUGGAGAUAGGGUCUUGAAGGAGGUAAUGAUUGUUAAAUGAGGUUAUAAGGGUGAGGGUCUAAUCCAAAAUGUCUAGUGUCCUUAUAAAAAGAGAGAGAGAGAUCAGGAAUGUGUGAACACAGACAAAAGGUAUUUUGUUUUGGCAGUCCUGGCAAACUCAUGCAGGAGUAUAAAGGCAAAGGGAAACUUCCAGGAUGAUAGCUAUGCAGUAGACACAGGGAGUACCCAGUCUGUUUGAGCAGGCGACAGGCUGUGAGAGCUAUUUCCUCAAGAAGAUGAUACAAAUAGAAUAUCUAGUAUGUUGUAUUAGUCUGGGUUCUCCAGAAAACCAAUAAGGUAGAGAUAUAUAGUUUUAUUAUAGUAAUUGGCUCACUCAAUUUUGGAAACCAAGAAGUCCCACAGUCUUCUAUCUGCAUUCUGGAGAACGAGGAAAGCUGUUAAGCUGGUGGUAUAACUGAAUCUAAGUCUGAAAGUCCGAGAAUCAGGAGUGCCAGUGUAUGAGGGCAAGAAAUAAAUGUCCAGCUCAGAGCAAAUUUUCCCUUCCUUGCCUUUUGUUCUAUUCAAACCAACUGAUUAGAUGAUGCCCACCCACACUGAUGAGAGUAAUCUUCUCCACUCACUCUACCAAUUCCAAUGCUAAUCUAUUUCAGAAACACCCUCACAGACACACUUAGAAAUAAUAUUUUACUAGCUAUGUGGGCAUCUCAUAGCUCAGUAAAGUUGACACAUACAAUUAACCAUUACAUAAGUUUUAUUUAAAAAAAUAAAUUAUCAUGGGACUUUCAACAGUCAUAAAAGUAGAAUAGCAUGAAACCCAUGUACUUGUCACACAUCUGCAGCAGUCUUCAACAUUUUGCCAAUCUUUUUUGUCUGAAUCCACCCAAGCUUCCUCAUUCAAUCUGUAAUCAUUUUAUUGUGUAUCGUGAACUAACAAAAAUAUUGUUCUAAUUGUGGUAAAAUACACAUCAAAUUUACCAUCAUAACCAUUUUUAAGAGUAUAGUUCUGUGACAUGAAAUAUAUUCAUAUUGUUUAGCAACCAUCAACACUAUCAUUUCUCCAGAGUUUUUUAAAUAUUCAAAACUAAAACAUUGCAAAAAUUAAACAAUUACUCAACAUUCCUUCCUCCU
rnacentral:lncRNA from 1 species